rnacentral:sRNA from 12 species
GGAUAAACCCAGGUGCAAACCUGGACAAUGGUCGGGAGGAACUGGCGUUCCCGGCCCCUGGGAAACCAGACUCAUCAUCCAAUGGAGAAUCUGAUUUCACAGGCCACAUAUCACCGGCUUCCUCGGAGAGGGUCGUUCCUUUCCGUGUCCAACGACCAGGAAGUCAGGCGGUGAGCGGUCCCGUCCCGCGAUGCAAAUCAAAGUGGCGCGAAACGGGAAAACCAGCCGCAAGCCGAGUUACGCCUCAGCCGGUCCGUUGUUUCGGGCCUUGAGGCGGACACAGUCAGUCGACCUACGACUGUCAGUUGCUACUGUGAGCCAGUGUGGUGAUCCACUACCCGGCGGUUUUGAACGAACAAAACGCCGUCGUAUCCGUUCGGUGUCGCAACCGGGCUGAGAAAAGGGGGGAAUGGAACACCGCGGAUUGAGCGGUCCGUUGUGAAUGCGUCGGGAGGCCGGCGGGAAGCAAGGGCGCGCGAUAAGAUCCGAUCGCUGGGAGGCUCUCCCCAAAAGGAGUGGAGUCGUCCAGGCGAGAAGGGAAAGGCAACUUGAGGGGUAAGAGACAAGACCCGUGGCGUGAGGCCAACGAUCCGUGACUUCCAGCUGUUUACAGCCUGUUGCAGAUGCCGACCUCGCGGAAGUGGGGAGGGAUGCACUCAUUCUCAAAAGCAUCCUGAACCGGGUCCGGUGGACGCACGCUUGCAAGGUGUGCAAAGGCCGGGCUGAGAAGUCUCACCCGACAAGCUGGUGGUGGUGACACCGCCGGCCGGUUCCGCUGCGGAACCGAAACGGAAUGCAAUCGUUCAUGCAGACCAGUGCAGCGUCGGGAAACUGACAGCCAGCGACACUCGACGGGUGAAGCUGGGCGCCAAAUGCCAGUGUUCGGGGAAAGAGAGCGUGGCGAGCUCC